rnacentral:rRNA from 1 species
UGCAAGUCGAGGGUAACAGGAGCUUGCUUCGCUGACGACCGGCGCACGGGUGCGUAACGUGUAUAGAACCUACCUUUUAUAGGGGAAUAGCCUUUAGAAAUGAAGAUUAAUGUCUCAUAGUAUUGUAGACUGGCAUCAGUUUAUAAUUAAAGAUUUAUCGGUAAAAGAUGGCUAUGCGUCCUAUUAGUUAGUUGGUAAGGUAACGGCUUACUAAGACAUCGAUAGGUAGGGGUCCUGAGAGGGAGAUCCCCCACACUGGUACUGAGACACGGACCAGACUCC